AACGAACGCUGGCGGCAGGCUUAACACAUGCAAGUCGAGCGCACUCUUCGGAGUGAGCGGCGGACGGGUGAGUAACGCGUGGGAACAUACCCUUCACUGCGGAAUAGCCUCUGGAAACGGAGAGUAAUACCGCAUACGCCCUUUGGGGGAAAGAUUUAUCGGUGAGGGAUUGGCCCGCGUUGGAUUAGGUAGUUGGUGGGGUAAUGGCCUACCAAGCCGACGAUCCAUAGCUGGUUUGAGAGGAUGAUCAGCCACACUGGGACUGAGACACGGCCCAGACUCCUACGGGAGGCAGCAGUGGGGAAUCUUAGACAAUGGGGGCAACCCUGAUCUAGCCAUGCCGCGUGUGUGAUGAAGGCCUUAGGGUCGUAAAGCACUUUCGCCUGUGAAGAUAAUGACGGUAGCAGGUAAAGAAACCCCGGCUAACUCCGUGCCAGCAGCCGCGGUAAUACGGAGGGGGUUAGCGUUGUUCGGAAUUACUGGGCGUAAAGCGCGCGUAGGCGGAUUAGUAAGUUAGGGGUGAAAUCCCGGGGCUCAACCCCGGAACUGCCUCUAAUACUGCUAGUCUUGAGUUCGAGAGAGGUGAGUGGAAUUCCGAGUGUAGAGGUGAAAUUCGUAGAUAUUCGGAGGAACACCAGUGGCGAAGGCGGCUCACUGGCUCGAUACUGACGCUGAGGUGCGAAAGCGUGGGGAGCAAACAGG
rnacentral:rRNA from 1 species